rnacentral:rRNA from 1 species
GGAGAAGGGGUGGCUUCGGUUACCCUGGAGACUGGCGCACGGGUGAGUAACGCGUAGACAACCUGCCUAUAUCUGGGGGAUAACACCGAGAAAUCGGUGCUAAUACCGCAUAAUGCAGCGGGGCCGCAUGGUCGCAGUUGUUAAAGCUCUUCGGGGCGGAUAUAGAUGGGUCUGCGUGCUAUUAGUUAGUUGGUGAGGUAACGGCUCACCAAGGCGAUGAUAGCUAGGGGGUCUGAGAGGAUGAUCCCCCACACUGGGACUGAGACACGGCCCAGACUCCUACGGGAGGCAGCAGUGAGGAAUCUUGCGCAAUGGAGGAAACUCUGACGCAGCCACGCCGCGUGCCGGAAGACGGCCCUAUGGGUUGUAAACGGCUUUUAUUUGGGAAGAACCUGGGGGAUUUGUCCCUCACUGACGGUACCAAUUGAACAAGCACCGGCUAACUCCGUGCCAGCAGCCGCGGUAAUACGGAGGGUGCAAGCGUUGUCCGGAAUCAUUGGGUGUAAAGGGUGCGCAGGCUGGCGCCUAAGUCGGAGGUGAAAUCUUGCCGCUUAACGGUAAAAUGGCCUCCGAUACUGGGUGUCUUGAAUCUGACAGAGGUCGGUGGAAUUCGUAGUGUAGCGGUGAAAUGCAUAGAUAUUACNAAGAACAUCAGUGGCGANGGCGGCCGGCUGGGNUCAGUAUUGACGCUGANGCACGAGAGCGUGGGGAGCGAACANGAUUAGAUACCCUGGNAGUCCACGCUGUAAACGAUGUAUGCUAGUUGUAGGGCUUUCGGGCUCUGUGACGCAGUUAACGCAGUAAGCAUACCACCUGGGG